rnacentral:lncRNA from 1 species
CGGUAAUAAAGAAUGGUAUUAUUCAUAUCUUUCUCUAAUACUUUGUUCUAAUUGCAUUAUGUCUCUAUUUAUUAUGCUCUUAGUUUGCUGUAGUUCUAUAUUUGAUAUAGUUAUGAUUGAUAAUGAGUUUAUGUAUAAGUUUGCAAAGCGCUUAGCUCUUGACGCACGGGAGUUAAGUGGUAGAUCACAUGUGGGCAUGGUGCUUAGAUGUUACUUACCUGCAAAUGUAUCCUAUUGGCCGGGUUGUGUGGUAGUUCGCGAUAGUGAUAGCUUCGUUGAUUCUUAUAUAGUCCACCCUCCGUUGAUAGGUAUAACACUCCAAAUUUUUGAAUUUCAAAUUUAGUUUAAAUUUGAUUUAAUUUUGGCUCAAUUUGAAUUUUUGGGAAAUAUUAAAUAAUUUACAAAAUUAAAUAAAAUUAAAAAUAAGGUAGAAAAACUUGUUCGUAUGCAUUCAUGCCGCU